rnacentral:rRNA from 1 species
GCGGCGUGCCUCAGACAUGCAAGUCGAACGCGAAAGUUCCCUUCGGGGGGCGAGUAGAGUGGCGCACGGGUGAGUAACACGUAGGUAAUCUACCUUUGGAUGGGGAAUAACAACCGGAAACGGUUGCUAAUACCGCAUAAUGCAGCGGCACCUAAUGGUGACAGUUGUUAAAGCGGGGGAUUGAAAGACCUCGCGUCUGAAGAGGAGCCUGCGGCGGAUUAGCUAGUUGGUAAGGUAAUGGCUUACCAAGGCUAUGAUCUGUAGCCGGCCUGAGAGGGCGGUCGGCCACACUGACACUGACAUACGGGUCAGACUCCUACGGGAGGCAGCAGUCGGGAAUUUUGGGCAAUGGGCGAAAGCCUGACCCAGCAACGCCGCGUGAAGGAUGAAAUCCUUCGGGAUGUAAACUUCGCAAGAACGGGAAGAAUAAGUAGGGGACAAUACCCCCUAUGAUGACGGUACUGUUUGUAAGCUCCGGCUAACUCCGUGCCAGCAGCCGCGGUAAUACGGGGGGAGUAAGCGUUGUUCGGAUUUACUGGGCGUAAAGGGCGCGUAGGCGGCCACCGCAAGUCGGUUGUGAAAUCUCCGGGCUUAACCCGGAAAGGUCAAUCGAUACUGCGGGGCUAGAGUGCAGAAGGGGCAACUGGAAUUCUCGGUGUAGCGGUGAAAUGCGUAGAUAUCGAGAGGAACACCUGCGGCGAAGGCGGGUUGCUGGGCUGACACUGACGCUGAAGCGCGAAAGCUAGGGGAGCGAACGGGAUUAGAUACCCCGGUAGUCCUAGCCUUAAACGAUGAAUGCUUGGUGUCUGGGGUUUUAUAGUCCCCGGGUGCCGUCGCUAACGCUUUAAGCAUUCCGCCUGGGGAGUACGGUCGCAAGACUGAAACUCAAAGGAAUUGACGGGGACCCGCACAAGCGGUGGAGCAUGUGGUUUAAUUCGACGCA